rnacentral:rRNA from 1 species
UACGUAGGGGGCAAGCGUUGUCCGGAUUUAUUGGGCGUAAAGAGCGUGUAGGCGGUUUGGUAGGUCCGCUGUGGAAACUCGAGGCUCAACCUCGAGACGCCGGUGGAAACCAUCAGACUAGAGUCCGGAAGAGGAGAGUGGAAUUCCUGGUGUAGCGGUGGAAUGCGCAGAUAUCAGGAGGAACACCGGUGGCGAAGGCGGUUCUCUGGGCCUGUACUGACGCUGGAGGAGCGAAAGCCGUGGGGAGCGAACAGG